AAUCAACGCUGGCGGCGUGCCUCAGACAUGCAAGUCGAACGCGAAAGUCCCCUUCGGGGGACGAAGUAGAGUGGCGCACGGGUGAGUAACACGUAGGUAAUCUACCUUUGGAUGGGGAAUAACAACCGGAAACGGUUGCUAAUACCGCAUAAUGCAGCGGCACCUAAUGGUGACAGUUGUUAAAGCGGGGGAUCGAAAGACCUCGCGUCUAAAGAGGAGCCUGCGGCGGAUUAGCUAGUUGGAAGGUAAUGGCUUACCAAGGCUACGAUCCGUAACCGGCCUGAGAGGGCGGUCGGUCACACUGACACUGACAUACGGGUCAGACUCCUACGGGAGGGCAGCAGUCGGGAAUUUUGGGUCAAUGGGCGAAAGCCUGACCCACGCAACGCCGCGUGAAGGAAUGAAAUACCCUCCGGGA
rnacentral:rRNA from 1 species